AAAGUUUUAUCUAUUUGUCUUGACCAAAUCUUGUGCCAGCAGUCGCGGCAACACAAGGAAGACAAGUGUUAUUCAUCUUAAAUCGGUUUAAGGGGUACCUAGACGGUAAAUUACGCCAUAGUAGGAACGUUUUUACUAGAGUUAUACAUGCAUGGGGAUUGUGUCAGUAUUACCAGAGUAGAGAUGAAAUUUUUUGAUACUGUUAAGACUGGUAAAGGCGAAAGCAAACCUUUAUAUAUUAACUGACGUUGAGGGACGAAGGCUUGGGGAGCAAACAGGAUUAGAUACCCUAAUAGUCCAGGCAGAGAAUUA
rnacentral:rRNA from 1 species